rnacentral:lncRNA from 1 species
GCACAUUCCAGGAGCCAUUUCUGGCAUAAGAGCUUUGGAGAGAAUUCACUAGUAUUAAUGUUGAAGAUUCUGGCGUCCAGACAGGAUCAUGCGCUCUGAAAACUCUGGCCCACCAUGAAGUGAUCCUGCUUUACGAAAAGUUCCAGAUUCCAAGAUGGCCCCAUACAUGCAGCCCAGGAGAAAGGAGCUGCACCAGACACACUGGGAUUUGAGCUUUAACUGUCCUACUAAAUC